rnacentral:lncRNA from 1 species
AGUGUCAAGUGGAAUUUCUGAUGCCCCAGAACCAUUGUUUUGCUAUGACCAGCCAUAUGUGGAGUGUGUCUUUUGUGCAGUGCUUGACCCAGCCUGGUUAUACUGAUGGAUUUUCACUGCCUUGUGCAUCUUGUGACCAAUAGCCUGAGAAUGCAAAAUGCUGGGGUUAGGAGUGGGUGGGUGGCACUAUGACUGGGUGUUUCUCUGUGUAAGACUGUGAAAAAUGCAGCCAAGAAAACUGGAUGUUACUGCUUUCAUUUUGUUUCAGGAUAGGCCUGCCUGGAUGAUCAAAACAGAUGGAAAAGAGGCAUAUGGGGCAAUAAUCCUGUUCCUUCGCCUCCUGUAAGGGCUUUUCAGAAUAUCCAGUUCAACUUACUGCUGCUGCUGCUAAGUCACUUCAGUCGUGUCCAACACUGUGUGACCCCAUAGAUGGCAGCCCACCAGGCUCCCCCGUCCCUGGUAUUCUCCAGGCAAGAACACUGGAGUGGGUUGCCAUUUCCUUCUCCAAUACAUGAAAGUGAAAAAUGAAAAUGAAGUUGUUCAGUGGUGUCCGACUCUUUGCUACCCCAUGGACUACAGCCUACCAGGCUCCUCCGUCCAUGGGAUUUGCCAGGUAAGAGGUUUAUUUUAAUGUACCUUCAGUUCAGUUCAGUUGCUCAGUCGUGUCCAACUCUUUGCGACCCCAUGAAUUAAAAGACGCU